rnacentral:rRNA from 1 species
UACGUAGGGUGCGAGCGUUAAUCGGAAUUACUGGGCGUAAAGCGUGCGCAGGCGGUUUGUAAGACAGGCGUGAAAUCCCCGGGCUCAACCUGGGAAUGGCGCUUGUGACUGCAAAGCUGGAGUGCGGCAGAGGGGAUGGGAAUUCCGCGGUGUAGCAGUGAAAUGCGUAGAUAUGCGGAGGAACACCGAUGGCGAAGGCAAUCCCCUGGGCCUGCACUGACGCUCCAUGCACGAAAGCGUGGGGAGCAACAG